UGUUUUAUUUUUUGGAAGUUUACACAAUGUCAACCAAAUUCUUUAUUUGACUUUUAAUCAGUGCUAGAUGAACUUGGUCUACCUGCUUAACAGGAAGAAAUGUAACAAAAAUUUUCAGGUUUUCUCCUUCGGUUCUAGAAAAUUGGACUCCUUAUACUAUUUAUUAUUCUAGGACACCAGGAAAAAUCAGGAAGUUUAUUUUUAAGGUCAUUUUCCAUUUUAACCUCUUUUUUUUUUUUUCAGUCCUCAUUAACUUCUAAAAAUUUAUCCUGAACAUUCUCAAAAAUAUUCAUCCCAUCUCUUCAUGAAUCAUAUUCCUAUAGUAAAAUUCUAAAAGUCAGUUUUAAUUUCUUUUCUGCAGAUGAAAUAUAUGUAUUUUUAUAUAAAUAUUUUUGCUUAAAAUUAAGAUAUUUGGCAGAGUUCUCAGCCUACAGUUUCCAAAUUGUGGCUGUGCCACUUUCCACUGGCCAACGUGGAAGAGUUUGGGAAGGAAAUGGUGCUCUUGAUGAACUUGUACCUCGUGUCCUUAUCUCUCCCUCUGCCUCACGCCCAGCAAUCUAGCAGUAUUCCAAGACUGUAGAACACGCGAGAAAGGGUGGAAGAUUCAUUUGUCCAUGUCAAUGGGGAGGAAGGAAGGGGGUAGGAGAAGUGUUGCUGAGGAUUUCUGAGUACUGAGUCUUCGUUUAAUUUAUUCAUGUUUUUCCACCAACAAUACCGUGGUCCCUUGUGUCCUCUGCUGCAUUUCCAAUGUGCACCCAGGGGACAAAAUGUGUGGUCGGGUUUGUAUCUAAACCCAGACAUUUAGAGUCUUGUUCUAGUCAAUUUUAAAAAGGAGUUUUUCAGGAAAGAAAAAAAAAAAAAAAAAAACCAAGACGGCAAUAAAAUCUACAGUUUAAGAGACAGAAAUUCAAAUAUUAAUCUUUAAUGAUUAUAUUCCACUUCUUGUCUUUCUGCUGUACUUUUAAAAAGUACUCAGAUGAGGAGAAUCCAUUUUUAUACGAAGAAUUUGAGUCACUACUUUAUUAAGGGGCCAGAGGUAACAGAUUACACACUAGUGCAAAAAAAAAAAAAAAAAAAAAAAAAAAAAAGGAACUACAUUCUCCAAAGUGCUUCCUGAAUAAA